ensembl:lncRNA GAS5 growth arrest specific 5
GUCUUUUCGAGGUAGGAGUCGACUCCUGUGAGGUAUGGUGCUGGGUGCAGAUGCAGUGUGGCUCUGGAUAGCACCUUAUGGACAGUUGUGUCCCCAAGGAAGGAUGAGAAUAGCUACUGAAGUCCUAAAGAGCAAGCCUAACUCAAGCCAUUGGCACACAGGCAUUAGACAGAAAGCUGGAAGUUGAAAUGGUAAGUGAAACUGUAUCCAAGUAAGCAGGUAACUGGGCAAACUUCCUACGGCACAAAUGGCUUUUUAGUUACCUCCUAGUGCUGAAUGCAUUAAAUAAAUGGCGGAUUCUUGUCUUGUUAUGAUUAAUAAGAAAGUUUGUAAAUGCAGCCUGGAUGAUGAUAAGCAAAUGCUGACUGAACAUGAAGGUCUUAAUUAGCUCUAACUGACUAAAGGCAUUUGUUAGUUUUGGCAGGGGGUGAACACUCAUCUGUGGCUAUUCUAAGACCACUCUUAUUUCUUAGGUGGAGUCCAACUUGCCUGGACCAGCUUAAUGGUUCUGCUCCUGGUAACGUUUUUAUCCAUGGAUGACUUGCUUGGGUAUGGAGAGUCGGCUUGACUACACUGUGUGGAG